AGGGGUAUAGCUCAGUUGGUAGAGCAGCGGAUUCCAAAUCCGCAGGUCGCGGGUUCGAAUCCUGCUGCCCCUGCCA
rnacentral:tRNA from 2 species